rnacentral:rRNA from 1 species
AUUGAACGCUGGCGGCAGGCUUAACACAUGCAAGUCGAGCGGAGACUUCGGUCUUAGCGGCGAACGGGUGAGUAAUACCUAGGAAUCUGCCUAUUAGUGGGGGAUAACGGCUCGAAAGGGUCGCUAAUACCGCAUACGUCCUACGGGAGAAAGUGGGGGAUCUUCGGACCUCACGCUAAUAGAUGAGCCUAGGCCGGAUUAGCUAGUUGGUAGGGUAAAGGCCUACCAAGGCGACGAUCCGUAGCUGGUCUGAGAGGAUGAUCAGCCACACUGGAACUGAGACACGGUCCAGACUCCUACGGGAGGCAGCAGUGGGGAAUAUUGGACAAUGGGGGCAACCCUGAUCCAGCCAUGCCGCGUGUGUGAA